rnacentral:rRNA from 1 species
UACUCGAGUGGCGAACGGGUGAGUAACACGUGGGUGAUCUGCCCUGCACUUCGGGAUAAGCCUUGGAAACUGGGUCUAAUACCGGAUAGGAGCCAUUUUAGUGUGAUGGUUGGAAAGUUUUUUCGGUGUAGGAUGAGCUCGCGGCCUAUCAGCUUGUUGGUGGGGUAAUGGCCUACCAAGGCGGCGACGGGUAGCCUGCCUGAGAGGGUGGACGGCCACAUUGGGACUGAUAUACGGCCCAG